CUACGGGAGGGCAGCAGCUGAGGAAAUUUUACAAUGCUCGAAAGAGUGAUAAAAUAAGCCAGAGUGUUUUUCUUAGAAAAACUUUUGUCUGCUGUAAAAAGGCAGACGAAUAAGGACUGGGCAAGACCGGUGCCAGCCGCCGCGGUAAUACCGGCGGUCCAAGUCGCAUCCAUAUUUAUUGGGUCUAAAACAUCCGUAGCUUGUUUUGUAAGUCUCUUGUGAAAUCCUAUGUCUCAAGCAUGGGGCGUGCAAGAAAUACUGCAUUACUAGAGACCGGAAGACGUAAAGAGUACAAUUGAGGUAGCGGUAAAAUGUGUUAAUCUUGAUUGGACUAACAAUGGCGAAGGCACUUUACGAGUACGGAUCUGACAGUGAGGGAUGAAGGCUAGGGGCGCAAAAGGGAUUAGAUACCCCUGUAGUC
rnacentral:rRNA from 1 species